rnacentral:rRNA from 1 species
GCUUGUCUCAAAGAUUAAGCCAUGCAUGUCUUAGUGUAAAUAACUCUUAUGAAACUGCGAAUGGCUCAUUAAAUCAGUUAUCAAAUACGUGAUGGUCGCCUACUACAUGGAUAACCGUAGUAAUUCUAGAGCUAAUACAUGCACAAAGGCCCAUUCACGUGGGUUGUGAUUAUUAGAUCAAAACCAAACGGCUUCGGCCGUCUCAUUGGUGACUCUGAAUAACUUUGGGCUGAUCGUAUGGCCUUGUGCCGACGACGUUUCCUUCGAAGGUGUGCCCUAUCAACUGUCGACUGUGAUAUAGACGCUCACAGUGGUUUUGACGGGUAACGGGGAAUCAGGGUUCGAUUCCGGAGAGGGAGCCUUAAAAACGGCUACCACAUCCAAGGAAGGCAG